UUAGGAACUGAUUUUGAUUAUUUGAGUGCUACUGUAUAUGCUUCGGGUAUGACGUUACGUCCAGCUUAGCAGACAACACACCUGGUUUAUGAGAACAAGACCAGACUUUAGUAAUAUUUUGGGAAAAAAUAUCUACUGUAUCACAAAUUGAGUACCAUUUCACAAAAAAUCUUUUAAAUGGUCUCUUUUUCAUAAAGUCUAACUACUUUAAGUUUUGAACCAAAGUUGUCUAAACGCUGUCCGGAUAAUUGAAAAACUGUGAAAUAGCCCUUUAGUUUAGUGCUGACAGGAAGCGGUGAAGCAGUUCCCAACUUCAGUGUCUUUGAAAAACGCUGCUUCUGCAGAAAAGGAAUCUGAGCCAGAGGUUUCCCGGAAGACGGGACAAAGCAGUUGUCCCACUACCUGAAGAAGACAUCAUUGAAACCGCAGCUCUGCACGCCUGAAGCGUAAAGUCUGAGCAGAAGCCCCCCAACAACCACCUGCUACUGAGAGCAGCCGCUAAACCUCUUUGUUGCCUGUCCACCUCGCGACCAAGCGGCCAGACCGGACCUCCUUUACCACACAAGCAUUAGAAGCUGAGCUGCUCAACUGUUCCAAGAUGUCAGAACUACAAAGCUCCCUUGAAUGAGGGAAUGUGGGGCCCGGGGCAGCGAGGGAGUCUGGAACAGCUGGCCCAGUCCAGGGCCCUCUGCUCCGCUUUCCAGCCGUACGCUAGCUGGGUUGAGACACACAUAUCUGGAUACUCUAGUAGGUGGGAUGACACAGGGAUCCCCAGUCCAAAGCCGGAGAGAAAGUGUUGGGUGAGAGGACAGAGAAAGACAAGUGCAGCAGAGUGAGGAAACCCAGGGGAUGGAAUCAAGUAACUUUGCAGCAAUUCCCCCUCCUGAUCAAACAUGUGGCAACAGUUGGAAGGAACAGGAAAUCCAUGCAGCAUUUCUCUAUGAGUCGGGUUCUAACUGUGUUCCUAAGGAGCUGAGAGGCAGAUGCAAGCAUGAUACCCUCUGCAGUGUUUCCUCUUCCUAGGUGGGGAAUCUUCUGAUUUACUGGGAUAUUGUUGGUGAUUUUUUCCAGUCCAUUCUUCACAAUUUCUACCAACUUCAAUUUCCAGAUCUUUAUUCAUAGAUAGCUUUUCUGUCAUUUUCAUUGAGGUGUUUCUUUCUGAUAGUAUUUUCAUAUCAGUUAGCAACUCUUGUCUUUCUUGUUCUUGAUGACGAUGUCUGGUUUGUUGGCUUUGAUUUCUCAGUCUGGAUUAGCAUAUCCUAAAGGAUGGUGACAUCUUGAUUGUCUCUCACUGUGGUUGAUGUUUUUAUUAUUUAUUUCUUUUUUGUUUUUAUUGUCUCCCAUGUUAAGAACUUUUUGUUGCCCUCACUGUGUUUGAAAGUGCUCUAAAAAUAAAGAUUGACUGACUGAUUGCUUGCAGCAUGUUAGACAUGCUGUCCACAGACUGAAAUGUUAUGUGAUUUGGUGUAUGACUGUCUCAUGACCACUAGAGGUCAGGCUUCCAUCAUGAACGGAAGCGUUAUUAAGGGACUCCCGCAGCUAAAUGAAAGCGGAUUCUGUGUAACAGUUUCUU